rnacentral:rRNA from 1 species
UACGAAGGGGGCUAGCGUUGUUCGGAAUUACUGGGCGUAAAGCGCACGUAGGCGGAUUUGUAAGUCAGGGGUGAAAUCCCGGGGCUCAACCUCGGAACUGCCUUUGAUACUGCAAGUCUCGAGUCCGAUAGAGGUGAGUGGAAUUCCUAGUGUAGAGGUGAAAUUCGUAGAUAUUAGGAAGAACACCGGUGGCGAAGGCGGCCCACUGGUCCGGUACUGACGCUGAGGUGCGAAAGCGUGGGGAGCAAACAGG